rnacentral:rRNA from 1 species
AGCUGCGGCAGCGACACUAUGUGUUGUUGGGUAGGGGAGCGUUCUGUAAGCCUGUGAAGGUGUGUCGUGAGGCAUGCUGGAGGUAUCAGAAGUGCGAAUGCUGACAUAAGUAACGAUAAAGCGGGUGAAAAGCCCGCUCGCCGGAAGACCAAGGGUUCCUGUCCAACGUUAAUCGGGGCAGGGUGAGUCGACCCCUAAGGCGAGGCCGAAAGGCGUAGUCGAUGGGAAACGGGUUAAUAUUCCCGUACUUGGUGUUACUGCGAAGGGGGGACGGAGAAGGCUAUGUUGGCCGGGCGACGGUUGUCCCGGUUUAAGCGUGUAGGUGUGUGUUCCAGGUAAAUCCGGUUCACUUUAACACUGAGGCGUGAUGACGAGGCACUACGGUGCUGAAGCAACAAAUGCCCUGCUUCCAGGAAAAGCCUCUAAGCAUCAGGUAACAUCAAAUCGUACCCCAAACCGACACAGGUGGUCAGGUAGAGAAUACCAAGGCGCUUGAGAGAACUCGGGUGAAGGAACUAGGCAAAAUGGUGCCGUAACUUCGGGAGAAGGCACGCUGACACGUAGGUGAAGUGAUUUACUCAUGGAGCUGAAGUCAGUCGAAGAUACCAGCUGGCUGCAACUGUUUAUUAAAAACACAGCACUGUGCAAACACGAAAGUGGACGUAUACGGUGUGACGCCUGCCCGGUGCCGGAAGGUUAAUUGAUGGGGUCAGCGCAAGCGAAGCUCCUGAUCGAAGCCCCGGUAAACGGCGGCCGUAACUAUAACGGUCCUAAGGUAGCGAAAUUCCUUGUCGGGUAAGUUCCGACCUGCACGAAUGGCGUAAUGAUGGCCAGGCUGUCUCCACCCGAGACUCAGUGAAAUUGAACUCGCUGUGAAGAUGCAGUGUACCCGCGGCAAGACGGAAAGACCCCGUGAACCUUUACUAUAGCUUGACACUGAACAUUGAGCCUUGAUGUGUAGGAUAGGUGGGAGGCUUUGAAGUGUGGACGCCAGUCUGCAUGGAGCCGACCUUGAAAUACCACCCUUUAAUGUUUGAUGUUCUAACGUGGACCCGUGAUCCGGGUUGCGGACAGUGUCUGGUGGGUAGUUUGACUGGGGCGGUCUCCUCCUAAAGAGUAACGGAGGAGCACGAAGGUUGGCUAAUCCUGGUCGGACAUCAGGAGGUUAGUGCAAUGGCAUAAGCCAGCUUGACUGCGAGCGUGACGGCGCGAGCAGGUGCGAAAGCAGGUCAUAGUGAUCCGGUGGUUCUGAAUGGAAGGGCCAUCGCUCAACGGAUAAAAGGUACUCCGGGGAUAACAGGCUGAUACCGCCCAAGAGUUCAUAUCGACGGCGGUGUUUGGCACCUCGAUGUCGGCUCAUCACAUCCUGGGGCUGAAGUAGGUCCCAAGGGUAUGGCUGUUCGCCAUUUAAAGUGGUACGCGAGCUGGGUUUAGAACGUCGUGAGACAGUUCGGUCCCUAUCUGCCGUGGGCGCUGGAGAACUGAGGGGGGCUGCUCCUAGUACGAGAGGACCGGAGUGGACGCAUCACUGGUGUUCGGGUUGUCAUGCCAAUGGCACUGCCCGGUAGCUAAAUGCGGAAGAGAUAAGUGCUGAAAGCAUCUAAGCACGAAACUUGCCCCGAG